rnacentral:rRNA from 1 species
AUUGAACGCUGGCGGCAGGCUUAACACAUGCAAGUCGAGCGAGCGGCGGACGGGUGAGUAAUGUAUGGGAAACUGCCUGCUGGAGGGGGAAAACUACUGGAAACGGUAGCUAAUACCGCAUACCAUCAGAUGUGUCCAGAUGGGAUUAGCUAGUGGGUGGGGUAAAGGCUCACCUAGGCGACGAUCUCUAGCUGGUCUGAGAGGAUGACCAGCCACACUGGGACUGAGACACGGCCCAGACUCCUACGGGAGGCAGCAGUGGGGAAUAUUGCGCAAUGGGCGCAAGCCGGAUGCAGCCAUGCCGCGUGUGUGAGGAAGGCCUUAGGGUUGUAAAGUACUUUCAGCGGGGAGGCGUUAACCGCAGAAGAAGCACAGGCUAACUCCGUGCCAGCAGCCGCGGUAAUAC